CAUCCAACAUAAACACUUCCAGGAAUGGGGCAUCCACAACUUCCCUGGGCAAUCUGUUCCAGUGCCUCACCACCCUCACGUUAAAGAAUUUCUUCCUUAUACCUAAUCUAAAGCCACCCUCUUUCAGUAUGUACUGCUCUGUUUCUAAUGAUAGUGUGUUGAAUUUUUAUUAGUGAUGUGAAUAAUUAAGCCGGAUGUCAUGCCAUUAUUUGUUAUUUCUUUUAAUUAAACAAAAUGAAAAUUUUGCCAGGACAUGGGGUUGCGAUUUUCAAGAGUCUUGUUCUAAUCACGCACUGAUUUAUUUUACUUUCGCACAGACAGGCAUUCCUCCUACACUGUAUGUUUCUCCGAAUAAAGGGAGCAGGCUACAUGCUUUCCUAUCCAUGGCAGGCCUUUGUCACUGAGAUAGCCAGCCUCUUACUGAAAAUAUAUUUACAUGUAUAAUAUAUUGUUAUAUUAUUAAGGAAGCUUAAUGGUGGAGCAGAACUGAGCAUACUCACCGGAGAGAAAGUGCACAUAAAGGUAGGAUGAGAGGCUGGAAAAGGCAGAGAGCUGUUACUCCCUGUACCAACCGUAGGUUUUUCCUACAGUGGGGUGGGAUGCCAUGGGGACAGGUGAGGUGGCUGUGUCUGCUGUCCCUGCAGCCUGAGCAGUGGCAGUGAUGCUGGGAGCUGCAAUGCCGCUAGAUGUCCCUUGUCACCCGAGUAAGGUAGGCGGCUCAUCCCCACCCCUGAGCUUCAGGCAUAUACGAUGUAGUGUUAUAAAGAAGCCUGUGUUUUAAGUAUUAAAUAUGGAGAAAAGUUGUGUCUGUAUUAAAAAAAAAGUCUUGUGUCAGCCUGUGAGGUAACGUUGUAGGUAGCAAGGAAAAGGGUACUUCUUUAGCCCCUUUAUAUUUAAUUUUUGUUGGAACAUACUCCACCAUAGGGAGGAUUUCAUCUUGAAAGCGUAUUUACACCAGGGCAAUUCAAUAUUUCCUGGUGGAAAAGAAAUCAUGCUAGGAAAUGCUGGUUUCAGCUACCUUUUCCCUGCUGACACAGGCCUGUCUGGUGCAAGGUGGGGUCCUGGUAUCCUGCAUCAGCUGAGCUGGUGGAGGGGUUUGGGGGGAAAAGGACCUACAGGCUUUCCUUGCACCUGCUUAAUGAUUUUGCCAUUUUAGGCAUGUUUAUGUUGAAAAAGGCCAGAAAAAAAGGUCACUUCUUUGAAGAACUCAGCCCCUCCACCUCACUGGUGCAGCUGUAACCCCAAAGGCUCAAUGUGUCCCUGCAGAGCGGGGAAAAGGCUGGUGGAAGAGGGAACAGCUGCUGAGGGAGGUGGACUGGUGUAGGCAUAUGGCAUGGAGCAGGCAGAGCUAAGGGCAAGAGGCUGCAAGCUCUUGGAGGCAGUGUCUAAAGGGGGCACAAGGAAACCUCCCAAACCUGCUUCCACCUGGCCUUCCAAAACCUUUCCUUAUGCUUCCCAGCCCAUGUGUCACUCAGUGUAUGCAGAUCUAUGUGGAGCCCAUGCUGCUCAGCCACAUGGCUUGUGUUUGCCUUGUGGCUUGAUCCUCUCUCCAGCCAGCUGUGCUGGUGCUGCCAUGCCAGUGGUGCUCUUGCCCCUCCAGACCAGUGUGACAGCUGGGUUUGAAGGGCAGCCUCCAACAGCAGGAGUGUGCCAGCCUCUCAGUAGUCCUGUAAGAGUUAAUGCCUCCCUGUGCCCAUGUUUUCACCUCAGUGGAAGCUGUGUUUCCAUAUGUCCCUAGCUUCCGUAGCUGGCACCUUGGCGUGGGCAUCUGUGCCACUCCGCAUGCCUGUGCCCUUGCAAAGACUCACCUGAACUCGUGCUGGGCAAACCCUCUCGCUCCUGGUCUCCUGCAGUGCCCCGUGUGCCCUCUGCACAUACCACAGCUGCACAGUGGGGUGUGCAUGCCCCUAAACUGCCCUGAAAGCAACCACAUGGCUCACCUGACCAGCCAAUGCCUACCAUGUUAUGGACUUCUCUCCAACGUAGGUAAUAACUGAUUGACUGUCACCUGUUUCUCAGAAUGAGCUGCUGUGGUGCGUGACUGCACAAACCAAGCUGUUGUGUAUUCAGAGUCAUAUCUGCCUGCCUGGAUUACAGAAAUGAAGCAUUUGGUGCUUUCUACUUCAUUUAAACCUGUGGGACCCCAUAGGGCACAUCCUCCUCGUGCACCAAGGUGUCCAUGUGUGCCACUUGUCAAUCAGGGACUUCUUCACCAAGUAACAUCUGAGCAAAUCUCUUAAUAACAGAGGGACUACACACAUCACAAUUUCACCAACAUAGCCUUUAUUACUAAUGGUGAUGUUGGAGAUGGAAAACCCAGCUCAAUUCUCAGAUCCCUGCCGGAAAGUAAUAAAAUAAAGAGGAACAAAAUCUGUGCGUGUACUUGCUACCAAACCUUUGAAAAACACAAAAGUGGAACCCUGCCAAUGCGAUUGCUGGCAAUUUUUCAGAAUGGAGCCUCAUUCGGAGUGGCAUUUAGGAGUACUACCCAGACUCCAAGAUCCAUCAUACAAGAGCCCA